UUGGACUUCAACAUCACAAGCUGAUGCUUCUGUGCGCAAGUUCUGCUUGUUUUCAUGAAACCUCGUUGUACCGAAGCACAAUAGCUAGCUCAAUGGUAGUCUGGUUGGGCACAGGCUGUUUCGGGCUACGAGACCUUUCCAACUUUCUACUUUAAACUUUCUCCUGAAUUCGGGCAUUGACGUCGAUAACUGUGAAGCUCCCUGCUUUCAACUUCAUUCCAUUUGUGCGACCUGCUUACAAUGCCAUCUUCAGGAGGUUGACUGCUCAAGAUCAAGACCAGGAAGUAACGGAAUGUGCAAUAUCUUGUUUGGGGCUUGUUAUUCCCAUGCUUGGAGAUCAUCUCAAGAGCGUACUUGACACGUGAUUGCCACUGUUAAUGGAGCGUUUACGCAUUGAGAUAACAAGACUCAAAACUGUGAAGGCGUUUGCAACUAUUGCAGAGUCUCCUUUGAAUGUAGACUUAUGCUCAGUUUUAGAACAAGUCGUUGCAGAGCUGACAACGUUCUUGCGCAAGGCCAACCGAACCCUGCAACUCGCCUCAUUGGGCACAUCGAAUUCGCUACUUACUGCUUACAGCAAUUAAAUUAGCUCAGCCAGCUACGAAUCUACUCUCACAGAGUUAUCUUCUCUCAUUAGUGAUGCAGACUUGUACAUUACAGUGUUAACACUGGAGUUAUGUUGCACCAUGAUUGUUGAUAAAAACACCAGUUAAACGCUGGCGUUGCUAUUUGGGAACGUGUCUUGCCUCGAGCACUUAUCCUUGUAAAAAGUUCGUUACUACAGGGUCAAGCGUUGCAGGUAACUCUUUUGAACAUUUAACGUGCUUGAGGUGGAGGUUGGGGGUGGGCAGUUGAGCCAUAGUGUUUGCGGGGAAUGCUCGGAACUGGAUUAUAUGGCCGCUAGGAAUCUUUUCUCUACGUGGACGGUGAUAUGAUCAAGCACGGUUCAGGGGCAUUACCUGCUCCCUCCGCAUGAAGUUUAAUGUAUGAAAUUGUGCUGCAUGAGUCCUCCGUUUUGAUGAUCUCACCAGCUUCAACCAAAGCAGCUUUAUCAUCUAGGACUGUGUUGCUUGCCAUUGAAAGCAACUCACAAAACUCUCAUGAAAGAAUCAAACUUGAUGCUUGGAGCAACUGCAAAACAAACCACAAUGUAACACAAGUCUCCAAAAGCUCAGAGACAAUACAACAAUAUCAAAAAUUAAAUAU